GCACCGCUGACAGCGGCUGGGUCGCCGGGAAGCGGCGCCUUCGGGUGCCAUGUGUUUGGACCUGGGAGGAAGAAAAGCCACUUCAGCCGUGGGAGUUUCGGUCGGGCUGCGACGCGGGCCCAGCGGCGCCAAGCAGGGACUGUCCUCAGUGCCGAGGACCGCGGACUGGGACGCACGGGAGGGCCCGGCCCGGGGAAGGGCGGGCGCGCCGGGUGUGCCUACCGCCGCGGGAACAGGGGCGCCUCGGGUGGUCAUCCGGCGGCUUCCUCCCAGCCUCACCAAGGAGCAGCUGGAAGAACAGCUGCACCCACUGCCGGCACAUGAUUAUUUCGAGUUCUUUACUGCCGAUCUCAGUCUUUGUCCCCAUCUCUACUCAAGAGCAUACAUUAAUUUCAGAAAUCCCGAUGACAUCCUUCCCUUUAGAGAUCGUUUUGAUGGAUAUGUCUUCAUUGACAGUAAAGGCCUAGAAUAUCCUGCAGUGGUAGAGUUUGCUCCAUUCCAGAAGAUAGCCAGAAAGAAGCUAAAGAAAAAAGAUGCCAAAACUGGAAGCAUUGAAGAUGACCCAGAAUAUAAGAAGUUUUUAGAAACUUACUGUGUCGAGGAACAGAAAACUAACGCCAGUCCUGAGACUCUCCUGGGAGACACAGAGGCAAAGACGAGGGCGCUUACUGCUAGAAGAACCACACCUCUUUUGGAAUAUAUUAAAAAUAGAAAAUUAGAAAAGCAGAGAAUUCGAGAAGAGAAGCGAGAGGAAAGGAGGAGGAGGGAGUUGGAAAAGAGACGCUUACGGGAAGAAGAAAGAAGAAAAAGAAGAGAAGAGGAAAGAUGGAAGAGAAAAGAAGCAGACCAAGAAAAGAGAGCUGCUGAAAAAGAUGUAAGGAUUAAGCUUCUUAAGAAACCAGAAAAGGGAGAGGAACCAACCACUGAGAAACCAAAUGAGAGAGGAGAGGAAGCUGAUACUGGAGACGGAAAGCAGGGGGCCUGUGCUGGCCGCACCGGGAAGCCGAGGGCUGUGGAGCACUCCCUGGAGGAGCUCAGGGAAAAGUCACAAAAUGACAGUGCUAAAGAGCAAAGGGAUGUGGAGAGAAGAUUUCGAGAGAAAGAACUUGAAACUCAAAGAUACCACUUGGAUGAUGGCCGAAAGUAUCGAGCUCACUAUGAGUUUGACAAGCUUUCAAGAAGACAUGAAGAAGAGCUGAAAUGGGGGAAAGGAUUCAUCCCAGACAGAGGGAAGAAGGGGGCCCAGGAUGGUGGUGCCCCUGUAGAUGAAGCAGAGAGACCAGGGAGUGAGCCGAAAAGCGCAGGCGGCCCGGCACCCAGGAAGGAGCAUGUGGGAAACAAGGAUUGGCCAGCCUUGCUGCUCUACCAGCCAGGAGCUUGCGUGCGAGCACGUGAAUGUGGUGGGAGAGCCCCCGAGGAAGCCCGUGGUGGGAGAAGGGGUGAGGCGGAAGAUCCAACCGGCUGGUUCUGAGAAGAACGAAGAGGCAGAGUGAGUGAUGCAUGUGCCAUGUUUGUGACCUGGGUGAACUGCCAUCCAGCAACCCGUGGAUUAGAAAGGGCAUCCAGAAAUGUGCAAUUAACCUAGAAUAUAACCUGCAGGCGAGUUUGCUCCUUACAAAGAAACUAGAAACUAGAACUAGAACUAUAAAGGUGGCAUAGAAACAUCUAGAAACCAUUCUUAAGAAAGAAGCAACCUUUUAAAAAUUCAACAGUUUUCAUAGAUUUUACCAUUUAUAAACUAACAUAUGUCAUUUACACAAAAGAGGGAAAAGUCUCGUUUGGAAAGUAGAAAAGUAUGACUAAAGUAGAGAAGAAAAUGGGCAUUGUGCCAGUGUGAAUUCUGAAGCACUUUAAUCAUGUAGGAGUAACUUGCACGUUGUGGUUCUUGUUGGUUUCCUGUGACCCCGGUUUCUGGGAAGUGAGCAGCUCUCAUUCUAUCAUCGCCUUUGGAAACGGGCCUCUCAGCACCACCUGUGGCGCCUUCCCCGAGGGCUGUUGCGUUAAGAGUCUCUGAUAGGAACCUUGCAGCCUGAAGUACUGCCUGCCUGCCUUUUCAGCUGUUUGGCCACUGACGUCAUGAAAAUGGUUUCACAACCUUCGGGCACUUGGAUUCAUAGGGGUGUCUUGCAAUCUGGAGCUCACAUUAUCUGGGGGAGGUAAGAGUGUGGAUGGCAACACAGAGAAGGCUGCCCAGGAAAGACACCUGAACUGAAAUCCUGAAUGACGUGAAGGAGUUUGCCAAGCAAAGGACAAUCCACAGAGGACACCAACAUGGGAACUUGCUCACCAGAAGAUAUGACUUUUAAGUAAGAAUUCUUGGGUAUUAAAAGUAAAAAAAAUCUCAUACUUCAUGUUAUACAAGAUAUGCAGUUAUCACUUGCCAUGGUACCACUGUACUUACAUGACAUUGAAGGAAUGUUCCAUAUAUAUAUGGAUAUGUCCACAUUCUACACAAAUAGGGUAUUAAGCAUAUUGUUCUGCAACAUGCUACCAUUUAAGGAAGAGAAGGUGUCUGUGGACAAUAGGCCCAGGCUUCUGAGGCUCCAGGCAAGUAGGUUUGUGUGAUUCUGAAAACAAAACAGGGCCAAGCUUCUGUUUUUCUAUGGGAAGGGCAGGAAUAGGCUUCAGGUCUACUGAAUUAGAGGGUAUUUCAUAGGACAUUUUUAUAUAUAGUAAGCACUGCAUUUCCUUAUAUGUAUCUUUGAAUGUAAGGGCAUUUCUGAAAUGAAAAUUGCUGGAAGUGGAUUACCUGGUGAAAAGAUUAUUUGCAAUUAAAAUUGAUGCAUUUUACUAAACUCUCAAUAAGGUGCAACACUAUCACAUACCAAACAACAGUGUAUAUAUGAGGGACAAGUCCCCACCUCCCUCAUAUACAAUGAACAUCAUUAAACUUCUAAUCCUUGCUACCUCUUAGGUGAAAACUGGUACCCCACUAUUGUUCAAAGCUCUUCUUUAAGGAGAAAGAUGGAACGUUUUUCCUUUUUCACCAUGUGUAUUUCUUUUUCUAGGAUGUGUUUUGUCCAUUUUUCUUCAUUAUUUGUAAGUAGUCUUUGUAUAUAAAAGAAAUCAGCCCUUUAACUGAAAAUAUUUUCUGAGUUUAUCAUUUUUAACUUGACUAUGUAUGGCGUUUUUUUUUUUUACCACACACAGUUGGUUUACACAAGAACUAAGAACAUGGAAGUGUUUUUUACCUAUGACUGUGUUGCUUUCCCAGUCCAUUUUUUUUUUUAACUGCUCAAUAUUUUUCUCCGUGACUUUGAUAAUUUCAUUGUUUUUACAUUCGUAUCUGUAGCCUAUUGGGUAUAAGGAGUGAGGUAGGGUUCCGGCCUAUUCUUUCACUCCGAACGGAUAGUUCAGUUGUCUUAACUUUGAUUACACAACCCUUUUUCUCACUAAUAUGUAAUGUUCUAUUUAGUAGUUACAGAAUUUUGUGAUUAUAAUUCUGUUCCGGACUCUAUUCUAUUCUCCACCAGUUAUACCUUGUAUAUGCUCUUCUCAGCGUGAGAAUUCAACAACUGCUGGAAUAGUCUAUAACCAACACACACAGUGAGUUUAUUCACCAAGCGGAUUACAGAAUUUUUUCUCACUAAAUUAUGCACCAUCAUUUACCAGAAGUACCAGAUACUACUGAGAGCAUGUAAUGUCUGCUCUGUGCAAAUGGUAAUGACAGAGUCAAAAUACACUCUUUCCAUGUUACUGCUCCUCAAAAUACAGUCCAGACUAGAAACUUAUAAUCAAAGGAUCUCCCUUUAUUAAUUUAAAAAUAUUCAUUACAUUUUUUAUUAAUAUUUCUAAUUUUGAUAACUUGUUCUUAAAGAUUGUUUUCUACCA